rnacentral:lncRNA from 1 species
UCACUAUGUUGCCCAAGCUGGUCUCAAACUCCUGGCCUCAAGAGAUCCUCCCAUCUUAGCCUCCCAAGUAGCUGGGAUUACAGGUGUAAGCCACAGCACCUAGUCCUUACACUCCCAGUUUUGAUGCCAAUCUGUCUUUGGGUAGUUGGACAGUUCUCACCAAGUGUGAGAGUUUCCUUUAGAUGUCACUGUGGUUAUGGUAAAUCUGAGAGGGGUGAAGAUGACCACAUGAAGCUGACAAAAUGCCACACAGAAUUCUCUGAAGGGGCUGACCGAUGGGCAUCACAUCCCUCUCUCCCUGUCCAAAGAAAAUUAUGUAUUAAGCACCAAAUUGUACAUGAUUCUGUACAGGGAGAAUUGUAUUAUCCCAAUACCUUCUCUCCUAGGAUAUUUUCACCUUAGGCUUUAGCUUACCCCUUUGUUUUAAAAAAAUUACAGUUGCACGCCACCACACCUGGCUAAUUUUUGUAUUUUUGGUAGAGACAGGAUUUCGCCAUGUUGGCCAGGCUGGUCUUGAACUCCUGACCCCAGGUCAUCCACCCACAUUGGCCUCCCAAGGUGCUGGGAUUACAGGCAUGAGCCACCACGCUUGGCCCAGAAUUUUCAAGUGUAUUGUAGUGAGAGGCCGGCAGAGUUCAGGCUUUUAAGUCUGCAAUGUCUGUGUGAUUAUCUCUUCAACUAAAGUGUAAGUCUCCAUGUAUAUUUCUUUGCUUUAUACACAUAACACCUAAAUCUGUGCCAAGUGCAUAUCAAAUGAUCAACAAACAUGACAAAUGAAUAACAUUUGUUCUAUUCCUUUCAUAUAAAGAUGGUACUUCUUUAGAGCCUAACUAGCUGUAUGACGUUGGGAAACUUUUAUUUCUCUGAACCUGUUUUCUCAUGUGCAAAAUGGAGAAAAUCCCUCUCUUACAUGGGAGCUAGGAGGAUCAAUAAGCAUUUAAUUCAUCUAGCAUAGUGCCCCCUGGCUAGUGCUCAAUCAUCAUAGUGUGGGCCUGGAGGGCACACACUGAAUGUUUUCUACUUAGUGACAAUGGCUAAGUCUGAUACAUAAAAUAUCCUUCUGUUAUUCAUUGUAAAAUUCUUGCCAACAUUUGUAGCUACAGACUGGAACUAGAGAAGUAAACACUUCUUGAAUGCCUGCUAAGAGCUUCCACAGACAUAUUUUUAACUCCCUCCCAACCUGAUAAAUCAAGUGUUAUUCUUUUUCUUUUCAGAGAACUGCAGGGAGGUUAAAUGACUUUGUAAGCUUGCCCAACAGUGCAGAAAGAUCCGAGAUCUAUCUAACCUAUAUCAGGUACCACAAGCUAAUGAGACCACAAACAAGGGCAUCGGCCCUGGGCAGCAUAGACUUCACAAAUGCCUGACUCCUUGAGGAACCAAGCCAUUCUGAAGACCUCAUAAGCUGUGGCUGAGAUGGUUACCUCAACUUUCAGUCACUCCAAAACAUUGGCAAGGUAUUUUUGCCAACCAUAGUGGAAGAAAAGAGAUCAUGGAAGAGAAAAAAAUAGAGUCACGACAUAUCUCUCCAAAUGCAGAUGAAAAGGAAAGGAGCUGCAACAGCUAAUGUACCAUAUUUGUGAUUGGCCACGUCAAUAUAAGAAGAUAUAUUAGCAAACUGAUUAAGAGCAAGUCAUCAGGCUGGUGCAAUGGUUCACACCUGUAAUCCCAGCACUUCGAAAGGCUGAGGCGGGAGGAUCACUUGAGCUCAGGAGUUCAAGACCAGCCUGGGCAACAUAGUAAGACCCUGUCUUAAAAAAUAAAAAAAUUAUAUAUAUAUUCUUUUUUUUAAAAAAAAGAGCAAGGCAUCAGAUGCAGGCAGCCCUGGGUUUGUAUCCUGGUUCUACCACUCAUUAGUGGAACCAUCUGAAUGAGUUACUGAGCCUUAGUGUCCUUACCUUUAAAAUGGGUAUAAGCAUACUCCUCUCACAAGGUUGUUGUAAGGGUUUAAAUAAAAUACCUAUGAGAUACUUUUAAUAGUGCCUGACAUUUAGUGAGCAUCCAAUACAUGGUAGCUGUACUAACAAUAAAAAUAAUAGAUGACAUGUGAAGUUUUAAGAAUUUACACAUAUUUACUCACUUCUAAUUCAUGACAACCAUAUGAAAUAGAGACUAUUACAGAUGAGAAACUGAGGCACAGAGGGGUUAGGCAACUUGCCCAAGGUCACACAACUAGUAAGCAGCAGAAAUAGAAUGUGAACCCAGGUAGUCGGCCUGCAGAAUCCACACUAUUCUAUACCGCCUGUCAGUCCUCUUGCUGCCAUUGUCAUUUUCAUUGUCAAUAUCACUAAAUGGUGGCAAAACUAGGGGAGGCAGAGACAGUUACAGGCAGGCAAAGAAAACCCACCAGUAGUGACAGCGAACAUCUAGAAACACCCAGCCAAUCCUCACAGAGAGCUUAGAGCCCCUAAGGCUGAAAGGCACCUACCUGCCCACAAUUGGAUCUAUGCUCUAAAAAAAGAUGAAACCAGCUCCAAGCCCCAGGCAGGCUGCAGAACAGCCCCAAGUAUGUAACUCAAUAUAUGUGCUAGGGAUUGCAUUAGGCACCGUGGGAGGUUUCCAAAGAAAUACAACUAGGCCUUAUGGGAGAGACAUGCCAUCCACAUGAAAAGCCGGGCUUAGAGAAAAUCCUUGGCAAAGAUGGCAUGAAGCUAGCCUCGAGACAUUGGGAUGACAGGGGACCAAAGACAGUGCUCAGGUGGGUGCUUGAGGAGUUCCUUUGGUGCUGCCAUCUUACUGGCUUAGUUGAAAAAACAUUGUUUCCCACAGUAGCCCAGCAAGGCAGUAGUUGCAGAAUUAACCGCAACCAGGCCGGGC